rnacentral:rRNA from 1 species
CCUACGGGAGGCUGCAGUAGGGAAUAUUGCUCAAUGGGGGAAACCCUGAAGCAGCAACGCCGCGUGGAGGAUGAAGGUUUUAGGAUUGUAAACUCCUUUUGUUAGAGAAGAUUAUGACGGUAUCUAAAGAAUAAGCACCGGAUAACUCCGUGCCAGCAGCCGCGGUAAUACGGAGGGUGCCAGCGUUACUCGGAAUAACGGGGCUUAAAGACUGCGUAGGCGGGGUAAUCAGUCAGAUGUGAAAGCCUGUAGCUUAACUACAGAACUGCAUUUGAAACUGGCACUCUGGAGUGUGGGAGAGGUAGGUGGAAUGCUUGGUGGAGGGGUAAAAUGCGUAGAGAUCAAGAGGAAUACUCAUUGCGAAGGCGACCUGCUGGAACAUUACUGACGCUGAUGCACGAAAGCGUGGGGAGCAAACAGGAUUAGAUACCCGGGUAGUC